UAGAAUUCCAAACUCUGUGUAAAGAGCGCGCGCGAUAAUCGAAACCCGACCCAAUAAAAACACAAUCCUAUCAAAUAUCAGUGCCGCAGCCGAAAAGGAGAGCUCAGGCUGACAAUUUCAUGGCCUCCAGCUCCAGGCGAUUGAGGGCAUUCAAGCGGUGGAUGAACUCCCAAGGUAUCGAGUGGAGCAGCGAUGCAAUUGGGUUCAUCGACACUCCUGAACAAGGCGUCUCUGUGAAAGCAUUGAGGGAUUUGACGGAAGGAGAGGUGGCUGCCAACAUUCCAAAGGCCGCCUGCCUCACCAUUAAGACCAGUGGUGCACGCGACUUGAUCCGAGCUGCCUGUCUUGACGGUUGUUUGGGACUUUCUGUGGCACUUAUGUAUGAGAAGAGCUUAGGCAAUAAGUCUCCCUGGGCUGCCUAUCUUCAGCUCUUGCCCGACAGAGAGUGCCUGCCCUUGGUUUGGACUCUUGAUGAAGUUGAUCACCUUCUUCCAGGCACUGAGCUCCACAAGAUUGUGAAAGAAGACAAAGCUCUGAUAUAUGAUGAUUGGAAAGAGAGCAUAAUGCCUCUCGUGGAUGCCCUACAUCUUGUUCCAGAUUUUUUUGGUGCUGAGCAAUAUUUUGCUGCAAGGACUCUUGUUGCUUCUCGUUCUUUUCAGAUAGAUGAUUAUCAUGGGUUUGGAAUGGUUCCUUUGGCAGACCUCUUUAAUCACAAGACCCAAGCUGAGGAUGUCCACUUCACUUGUGGGACUUUUGAUUCUAAGUCUGAUGAUGAAGAUGAAGAGGGCAACAACAAUGAUUCUUAUACUGAAAGUGCUGUUAAUGGGGAGCCAGCAAAUGCAUUGGGCUGCACUUCAGAUGAUUCCAACGUGUUGGAAAUGAUAAUGGUGAAGGAUGUCAAGACUGGAGCUGAGAUCUUUAAUACCUAUGGGUUCGCUGGUAAUGCUGCAUUGCUUCAUAGAUAUGGGUUCACAGAACCAGAUAAUCCAUAUGACAUUGUCAAUAUUGACUUGGAGUUGGUACUUUACUGGAGUUCAUCAUUGUUCUCUGGCCGGUAUAGCAGAGCAAGGUUGUCCCUUUGGAGAAAAUUAGAUUACUCUGGAUGUGUUAGCCACAAUGCUGAAUACUUUGAGAUCUCGUUUAAUGGGGAACCACAAGUUGAGUUGUUGAUUUUAUUGUACAUAAUGCUGUUACCAGAGGAUGACUAUUGCAAAUUGGAUCUAGCAUUUUCAACUGCCUGUAACCACAAGGAACCCAUCAGCAUAAUUUUGUCAGAGAAAUGCAAUAUCUCAUGGGAAAAUGGGUCAGAAGUUAAUAAAGAUUUGUUGCUGACAGAAAGCGUUUGUAGUGCUCUUUUGUGGCUUGCCGACAAGAGGGAGAGUUUGUAUGGUUUAAGUUCAAUGAAGGAUGAUAUAGAAGCUCUGGAAAAGUGUAGCAGGAAAGAAAGGAAGUUGUACCAUUCUUUGAUGUUGCGUGUGAGUGAGAGGAGGAUUCUUGAGAAGCUCAGAACUUAUGCUACCGUUGGUACUGAAUUGUUAAAAACUACUAAGAGAGCAUCUACUAGGAAGAGAAUGAGGAGGACUUCAGGUAAAACAAUCUUAUUUCUUUUUCGUAGGAUGUCCACUGUGCCUUGUUAAUUUCUUAUGCAUAUGUGGAGCUCUUCAAGGGUAGAGCCUUGGCAUAAUGGUAAGGUUGCUCUUUUGUGUCUGGAAAGUCACGGGCAAUCUCUUUAAAAAGCAAGGGGAAGGUUCAUAUGAUAGAUGGCCAUCCCUUGACCUCACAAAGUAAGGAGCUUUGGGUACCUAGCAAUGCCCUUUAUUUUGUUCCGAAAAUGAGUUUUGCCCCUAAUGAAGAGCUAGAGGUUGUGUUGACUAGAUUCUAAAUGACUUGAUGCUAGGUUGUAUUUGCACUUGCCAACACUUGAAGAAGUGACACUUGUAUGUUAAUUUUUGAGACAUGGUGGAUAAUGUGCUAGUUUCAUAUAUCAUAUAAUUCAUAUUUGCCAUUUUAGAGUCUGUUUGACAUUAUUGUUAAAAAAACACCUCCUUAAAUAGGAGUGAGCAGAAUUCGAAAAAACUGACCAAAUUAAUCUAAUUUAGAAUUUCAGUUUUGUUUUUUGAAAAAUUGGUUUGACUCUUAUUUUUAAUAAAUUGGUUUAUUUAGUUCAAUUUGAUUUUGUAGUAAAAAGUUUUAGUUAAAUUUAGUAAAAACACUGCAUUUUGAGUUUUAUAUUUACGCUUACAUUUUAGGUUUACAUCUUAAUCUUAUCCUCAAUUCCUCUCCCAGCCUCCUAACACUUAUGCAGCCAACUCCUCCUACUCUCUUCUACUUCCUCAAGAUGUCAACAGCUCCUGCUCUCCUUUGAGUCCUCUCCUCAUCCUUGACUCCUGUCCUCUUGCCGUGUUGCUGUCCCCUCUCCUCUUGACACUCACUCUCCACUAUUUCUUUUGAUUCUAGGCUCCAGGUUCUUCUCCUUGGCUGUUGAUUUUCUUUUCCUUCCUUCUUCCUCUGCUUUUUAUUUCUUCCCCUUCUAGCCUCCUUCAGUCCUCCCGUCCUCCCGUCUCCUCUAUUCUCUCCUUUUUGACUUUCAUUGGCCAUCAUCAGUGUUUCAGCACAGUCAACUGCUGUCCUCCUCCAAAUCAACGGGAUUAGAAGAGCUGGAGACUUCGAUUUGCAUAACUUUGAAUUCCAAAGCUUUCAAAAAUCUUUGCAUAAUCUAUUUUGUUUGGAAAUUUUUUUGGUUUUAAUUUUUUGUCUGUUGACUUUGAUUUGCAUGACUUCUUCUCAAUCAAGUUGAUGUGGGUUUCAAACACAGAUUUGUCUGCAAUCUAGUUGUUAUUUAAGGAAUUAAGUAUUGAAAUACAGUUUCACGUUUGAUAUAUAGAAUUAAUCCAUGCUGGAUUUGAGAUUUCUCUGUUUCCCCCAAAUAAAAAUGACAUCUUGAAAUUUUCAAUUUCUUAUGUUAUAUUAUGUUAUAUUAUAUUAUAUUAUUUAUUAAUUGCACCUACAUCCUGGUGCUUGAUUGUUGAAAUGUUAGCAUUUGGAUCUUUUAAUCUCAGUUGUAGAUUGUUGGAAUUUUGGCAUUUUUUUGACUGUUGAAUU
rnacentral:misc_RNA from 1 species